rnacentral:RNase_P_RNA from 2 species
AUUGCAAGCUGUCUUAUCGCUCUCCGAUUUAUCGGAGGGAGGAAAGUCCGAGCAACAUAGAGCACCGUACCUUGAGAAACCAAGGGUCUUGAUGUUAAAAUCAGGAACAGAUAGUGCCACAGAAAAUAGGUAGCCAUGACAUUUGGCUUGUCUAAAUCGUUAUGGUCAUAGUGAAAAGGUGGGGUAAGAGCCCACCGUCUCGUAUAGUAAUAUUCGAGUGCACGGUAAACCUUUCGGGUUGUAAGGUCACAUACAUUUUUGCUUUCUUGGCUAUUUAUAGCUGAGGAAUAAGGGCUGCUCGUCCGAAAAUCCCGAGUAUUCGGGGUAGUAAAAAGGGGUAGACUGCGUUAGAUAAAUGAUAAGAGUCCGUCUUUUGACGGAAACAGAACUCGGCUUAUAGGCUUGCAUUUUUU